rnacentral:rRNA from 1 species
CCCCUAGACGUUCUGGGCUGCACGCGCGCUACAAUAAUACGCACAGCGAGUAUCACCGAGCUCGAAAGGGCAAGGUAAACAAUAGAAAAGGUACUGUAAUGGUUAUAGAUCCUUGUAAUUAUUGAUCUUCAACGAGGAAUUCCUAGUAAGUAUGUGUCAUCAUCACGCACUGAUUACGUCCCUGCCCUUUGUACACACCGCCCGUCGCUCCUACCGAUUGAAUGCUCAGGUGAGCCAUUCGGACCUUCAUCAUGCCGGUUUCCGGUUUUGAUGAGGGAAAGUCUUGCGAACCUUAUCAUUUAGAGGAAGGAGAAGUCGUAACA